rnacentral:rRNA from 1 species
CACGUAGGGGACGAGCGUUGUCCGGAUUCAUUGGGCGUAAAGCGCGCGUAGGCGGCUCGGAAAGUCGGGCGUGAAAUGCCGGGGCUCAACCCCGGGACUGCGUCCGAUACUUCCGAGCUGGAGGUAGGUAGGGGAGAUCGGAAUUCCUGGUGUAGCGGAGAAAUGCGCAGAUAUCAGGAGGAACACCGGUGGCGAAGGCGGAUCUCUGGGCCUUACCUGACGCUGAGGCGCGAAAGCUAGGGGAGCGAACAGG